GACAGAGGGUGCAAACGUUGUUCGGAAUUACUGGGCAUAAAGCGCACGUAGGUGGUUCGCUAAGUCGCGUGUGAAAUCCCCCGGCUCAACCGGGGAAUUGCGGGCGAUACUGGCGAGCUGGAGAUCGGGAGGGGUGAGUGGAACUCCAGGUGGAGCGGUGAAAUGCGUAGAUAUCUGGAGGAACACCGGUGGCGAAAGCGACUCACUGGCCCGAUACGGACACUGAGGUGCGAAAGCUAGGGUAGCAAACGGG
rnacentral:rRNA from 1 species